rnacentral:rRNA from 1 species
UUGGAGGGCAAGUCUGGUGCCAGCAGCCGCGGUAAUUCCAGCUCCAAUAGCGUAUAUUAAAGUUGUUGCAGUUAAAAAGCUCGUAGUUGAAUUUCGGGAUCAAUAUAACGGUCAUGCCGUUGGUAUGCACUGUUAUNAUUGAUUUCUCACCUUCUAAAGAACCGUAAUGCCAUUAAUUUGGUGUCACGGGGAAUUAGGACUGUUACCUUGAAAAAAUUAGAGUGUUUAAAGCAGGCUCACGCUUGAAUACAUUAGCAUGGAAUAAUGAAAUAGGACAUCCGAUUCUAUUUUGUUGGUUUCUAGGAUCGAUGUAAUGAUUAAUAGGGAUAGUUGGGGGCAUUAGUAUUCAAUUGUCAGAGGUGAAAUUCUUGGAUUUAUUGAAGACUAACUACUGCGAAAGCAUUUGCCAAGGAUGUUUUCAUUAAUCAAGAACGAAAGUUAGGGGAUCGAAGACGAUCAGAUACCGGCGUAGUCUUAACCAUAAACUAUGCCGACUAGGGAUCGGAUGAUGNUAAUUUUUUAAUGACUCAUUCGGCGCCUUACGGGAAAC